CAAUUUUCUUCUAUAUGUGGGUCUUUGGGGGUGAAUAGUAAAGGUUAUUAGAUACUGCCAUUACAAUUUAAAUCAAUUUCUGAUAUGUAAUUAUGAUGCAUUACCAAAAAACAUAGCAAUAAGUCAAGUCUUGCACGUUUAAAUUAGUACUUACACGUGGAGAAAACACUGGGUCUCAUUGCUUAAUAAAUAGUUUUAAUUUUUAUGCCGUGGAUAGAUUGGUGGGGGAGGGGCACACAUGGGUGGGCUUGAUACACGUUAAGUGACAUGACUGGCGGUCGGAGUCAUCUGUAAUGCACCUUUACCACAUUUCCUGGAUGUACUGAUGAUACAGAACAAGCGCUCUUUGACAUGACAGCUGAAGGAGCAGACGGGCACAGCGUGCAGGUCAAGUGGCAGAGUGGACUCAAACAGGUAUGUGAUGGCUUCCCUUAGAGGAUGCAGUGGAACAUGUUGUGAAAGCACUGGACAAGACUGCAGAACUGGAAGUAAAAUACAUCAACUCCUAUAAAGGUCGAGGGGUGUUUGCCAAAUCCCAUUUCUCAAAAGGAGACUUUGUGGUGGAGUACAGAGGGACGUUGAUAAAUUUGGAAGAGUCAAUAAAGAGGAAGAGGACCUAUCACAGCUCAUGUGCUGUUUUCAUGUUUGACUUCUACUGGAAAGAAAAGACAUGGUGCAUUGAUGCAGCCCAAGAAGAUGGCAGCCUUGGACGCCUUGUCAAUGAUGACCACAGGCACCCAAACUGCAAAAUGAAGAGGGUCAUUACGGAGGCCAAAUCAUACCUCUGCCUAUUUGCUUUGAGGGACAUACAGCCAGGAGAAGAAAUUACAUAUGACUAUGGUGGAAAUGAUUGGCCAUGGAGGAAACAGACAGAAGAACAGCCUUGUGUGGCCGAGUCCUCUCACUCUCAGGUCUCCACACCAGCAGAG